rnacentral:SRP_RNA from 1 species
GACUGGGCUCCGCACGGCUGCUAUCUGUGAACCCCGUCAGGUCCGGAAGGAAGCAGCGGCAGCGGAGUGGUGGCGCGUUGCGGCUUCGUCCAGUUCG